ACUGAAGGCUUAUUUACUCAGAAAACUAUAGAAAUCACAGAUGAUAUUAUUUCUUCUUACAAAAACCAAGGCGGUUUUGAUUUGCUAGGCCGAACGAAGGAUCGAAUAAGAACAAAUGAGCAAAUCAAUGCUGUUAAAGUUGCAUGUGAAGCAUUGAAAUUGAACGGUCUUGUGAUUAUUGGGGGUGUAACAUCCAAUACAGAUGCUGCUCACCUAGCUGAGACUUUUGCAAAGACAAAAUGUCAGACCAAGGUGGUUGGUGUACCUGUUACUUUGAAUGGAGAUCUAAAGAAUCAAUUUGUGGAGACUGAUGUUGGAUUUGACACUGUAUGCCGGGU